GACGUAGGGCGCGAGCGUUGUCCGGAUUUAUUGGGCGUAAAGGGCUCGUAGGCGGUUCGUCGCGUCGGGAGUGAAAACUCGGAGCUCAACUCCGAGCCUGCUUCCGAUACGGGCAGACUAGAGGUAGGCAGGGGAGAGCGGAACUCCUGGUGUAGCGGUGGAAUGCGCAGAUAUCAGGAAGAACACCGGUGGCGAAGGCGACUUCCUGGCCUGUUCUUGACGCUGAGGCGCGAAAGCUAGGGUAGCAAACGGG
rnacentral:rRNA from 1 species